UGAGGAAUCUUGCGCAAUGGGGGAAACCCUGACGCAGCGACGCCGCGUGGAGGACGAAGGCCUUCGGGUCGUAAACUCCUGUCAAGUGGGACGAAAGUCGACGGGAUGAAUAAGCUCGUCGGUUGACGGUACCACUGGAGGAAGCCCCGGCUAACUCCGUGCCAGCAGCCGCGGUAAUACGGAGGGGGCUAGCGUUGUUCGGAAUCAUUGGGCGUAAAGGGCGCGUAGGCGGUCUGGUAAGUCAGUUGUGAAAUCCCUCGGCUCAACCGAGGAAUUGCUUCUGAUACUGCCGGGCUGGAGUCCCGGAGAGGGCAGUGGAAUUCCCAGUGUAGCGGUGAAAUGCGUAGAUAUUGGGAGGAACACCAGUGGCGAAGGCGGCUGCCUGGACGGGUACUGACGCUAAAGCGCGAAAGCGUGGGGAGCAAACAGGAUUAGAUACCCCUGUAGUCC
rnacentral:rRNA from 1 species